GUAGGUGAACCUGCGGAAGGAUCAUUACUGAAUAACUAAAUCUUUAGUUUUUCAUACCCCAUUGUUGACUUACCCAUGUUGCUUCCACGUGGACAGGCGUUCAUUCUGCCCUCUGGCUUGUUGUGCUUACCCCACACUUGACAGGGAGUUGCCCGUGGUAAGACCCCAAUAUUACACUUUUUAUAUAUACUAUAAUGUCUGAAUAAAUCAUUUCAAAUGAAAUAAAACUUUCAACAACGGAUCUCUAGGC
rnacentral:misc_RNA from 1 species